GGUCCGAUGCCACGUUGCUGGUAGCCAAAAUGGCGUUGACCGGCAAUGCUAUGAUUGGACCGAAACAAAUUCCAUGUUUCGCUUGCUGAUAGGAAUCUGUGGAUCCUAUUCUGUUGAUCCAUGGAGCCGUUUUCGGCGAUUACAUUU
rnacentral:snoRNA from 13 species